GGAACACGUGAAAUUCCGUCGGAAUCCGGGAGGACCAUCUCCCAAGGCUAAAUACUCCCUAGUGACCGAUAGUGAACCAGUACCGUGAGGGAAAGGUGAAAAGCACCCCGGAAGGGGAGUGAAAGAGAUCCUGAAACCGUGUGCCUACAAGUAGUCAGAGCCCGUUAACGGGUGAUGGCGUGCCUUUUGUAGAAUGAACCGGCGAGUUACGAUCCCGUGCAAGGUUAAGCAGAAGAUGCGGAGCCGCAGCGAAAGCGAGUCUGAAUAGGGCGCAUGAGUACGUGGUCGUAGACCCGAAACCAGGUGAUCUACCCAUGUCCAGGGUGAAGUUCAGGUAACACUGAAUGGAGGCCCGAACCCACGCACGUUGAAAAGUGCGGGGAUGAGGUGUGGGUAGGGGUGAAAUGCCAAUCGAACCUGGAGAUAGCUGGUUCUCUCCGAAAUAGC
rnacentral:rRNA from 1 species